rnacentral:rRNA from 1 species
ACUCCUACGGGAGGCAGCAGUGGGGAAUUUUGGACAAUGGGGGCAACCCUGAUCCAGCCAUGCCGCGUGAGUGAAGAAGGCCUUCGGGUUGUAAAGCUCUUUCGGCGGGGAAGAAAUGGCAACGGCUAAUAUCCGUUGUUGAUGACGGUACCCGCAUAAGAAGCACCGGCUAACUACGUGCCAGCAGCCGCGGUAAUACGUAGGGUGCGAGCGUUAAUCGGAAUUACUGGGCGUAAAGCGUGCGCAGGCGGUUUCGUAAGACAGACGUGAAAUCCCCGGGCUCAACCUGGGAACUGCGUUUGUGACUGCGAGGCUAGAGUACGGCAGAGGGGGUAGAAUUCCACGUGUAGCAGUGAAAUGCGUAGAGAUGUGGAGGAAUACCGAUGGCGAAGGCAGCCCCCUGGGUUAGUACUGACGCUCAUGCACGAAAGCGUGGGAGCAAACAGGAUUAGAUACCCUGGUAGGAUAGCG